rnacentral:rRNA from 1 species
AUGUUGGAUCAGCUUAGUGGAGCAAGAGUGUUCACAAAGCUAGAUUUAAGAAGUGGAUAUCAUCAAAUCCGUAUAAGACCCGGGGAUGAAUGGAAAACCGCCUUCAAGACAAAGGAAGGGUUGUUUGAAUGGCUAGUCAUGCCAUUUGGACUCUCAAAUGCACCAAGUACCUUUAUGCACUUAAUGAAUCAAGUCCUUAGACCCUUCUUAUCCCACUUUGUUGUGGUCUAUUUCGAUGACAUCUUGAUCUAUAGCAAGGAUGAGGAUGAACACUUUGAUCACAUUCGGAAGGUGCUAGAAGUACUAAGGGAAAAUGAGCUCUACGUCAACUUGAAGAAAUGUGUUUUCCUGCAAACACAACUUCUUUUCCUAGGAUUCGUCAUAACAUGUGACGGCAUUCGUGUUGAUGAUUCUAAGGUUGAAGCAAUCCGAGAAUGGCCAACUCCUAAGACCAUUUCUGAGGUAAGAAGCUUUCAUGGCCUUGCAACUUUCUAUAGGCGAUUUGUUCAGAAUUUCAGCACUAUCAUGGCACCAAUUACCAAGUGUUUGAAGAAAGGAAAGUUCCAAUGGGCAGAAGCAGCUGAAGCUAGCUUCAAUGAGAUUAAACAAAAGCUAUCACAAGCUCCUGUCUUGGUACUACCUGAUUUCAACAAGACUUUUGAGUUGGAGUGUGAUGCAAGUGGAGUAGGCAUUGGAGCUUUCCUAUCUCAAGAAAGGAAGCCCAUUGCUUUCUUUAGUGAGAAGUUAAGUGAAGCUAAACAGAAAUGGAGUACCUAUCAGCAAGAAUUAUACGCCGUUUUCAGAGCGUUGAGAACUUGGGAAGUCUAUUUGCUGCCUAAAGAGUUCAUUGUUUAUAGCGACCAUCAAUCCUUGAAGCAUUUUAGAAAUCAAAAGCAUGUUGGCCGCAUGCUAGCAAGAUGGGCAGCAUAUCUUGAGAGGUUUAACUAUCUCAUCGUGCAUAAAUCUGGAAUAACUAACAGAGUGGCCGAUGCUUUGAGUUGUCGUGCAUGCCUCUUGACUUCUUUUGAAGCUGAACUUCCGGGCAUGGAUCAAAUAAAGGAGUUGUAUGAGGGUGACGAAGACUUUGGCCAUGUUUGGGUAAAGCACGCAAGGGGCCAACCAUUAGGUGGUGACUAUUUGAUGCAAGAUGGAUAUCUCUUCAAAAAUGAUCGUUUGUGCAUUCCAAGAAGUUCUCUACGUGACAAGCUGGUUAGAGAGCUCCAUUCAAGUGAUCUUAGUGGCCAUGUUGGACGGGACAAGACUAUCGCUAACCUGGAAGCUCGCUACUUUUGGCCACAACUAAAGAGAGAUGCUGGAAAGUUCGUUCAACGGUGCCCCGUAUGUCAGACCUGCAAAGGCCAAAUCCAGAACACAGGGUUAUACAUGCCUUUGCCUGUUCCUGUUGCUCCAUGGGAGGACAUUUCUAUGGACUUCGUCUUGGGCUUGCCAAGAACAAGACGAGGAAGUGAUGCUGUAUUUGUGGUCGUGGAUAGAUUCUCUAAGAUGGCUCAUUUCAUCCCAUGCUGCAAGACAACGGAUGCUCAUCAUGUGGCAAACCUAUUCUUUCGAGAAGUGGUCAGACUUCAUGGAGUUUCGAGGUCCAUUGUCUCAGACCGUGAUAGCAAGUUUCUUGCUGCAUUUUGGCUCACUUUGUGGAAGCAAGUCAACACUGAAUUGAAAUUUUCUAGCACUGCUCAUCAACAAACAGAUGGACAAACGGAAGUGGUGAACAAGUUUUUGGGUAAUCUGAUCCGUUGCAUUUGUGGAGAAAGAAAGGGGCAAUGGGAUUUGGCUUUAUCUCUUACAGAGUUCUCCUACAAUAACUCCAAGCAUAGAUCCACAGGAAAGAGCCCUUUUUUCAUUGUCUACACUAAAGUUCCAACACAUGUGGUGGACCUGGUGAAGCUGCCAUCAAGGGGAAACUCAAAAUCAGCAUUGUCCUUUGUUGAUAAUUACACCGAGUUAUUUGAAGAGAUUCGCGGCGCUUUGGAAGCACAAAAUCAGAAAUAUAAACAACUUGCUGAUUGCAAAAGGAGGCCAAAAUCAUUUCAAGUCGGUGAUAAGGUGAUGGUCUACCUUCGAAAAGAGAGGCUGCCUUUAGGUGUUAAAGGGAAACUUAGGCAGCGAAGGUAUGGGCCCUUCUCUAUCGUGAGGAAGAUAAAUGAUAAUGCUUAUAUGAUAGAUCUUCCAAGUGACAUGGGUAUCUCCAACACUUUCAAUGUGGCGGACUUGACUCUCUACCAUCCAGAAGAAGCGCUCUAUGAAGAUAACUCGAGGGCGAGUUCCAAACAACCAGGGAAGAAUGAUGAGGAACAUGAAAAUAUAAUCAUAUGUCAAAUCUGUUUGGCUACUUCUAGAUACUUCUGUUGUGGUCUAGUAUUUGUUUUCUUUUCUUUAUCCUACCUACUGUUUUCUAGAGUCUUCUAG